rnacentral:lncRNA from 10 species
AUUGUCUCUACAUUUACUCUGUUAGAAAUUAAAACAGAAAUUUAGUAAAAUUCAUUAAUUUGUUAAAAUAGCAAUCAUUAACUCCUUGAAUAUUUUUAUGCAGAUAAUCAUGUUUUAAAAAAAAUUGUAAUGAGGGAGUGGCUUUGUUACCUGUUCUUCAUUCCUCCUAUGGGGCCACUGCCUUGGUUAGUGUUAAACUUCCGCAGUUCUCCCCGCUAUUGCUACUGCAUCUCCAGUGCAAAUUUUAACACAGUGAAAAAGGCAAAUAGCAGUGCCAAUGUGGAAAUGGCUUUUCCCUAUGCAGAUGACUUUUGGACAAUGUCUGGAGCUGAAGGGGAGAAUCUGAGUUAGAGACGAGCCUUGCAGGUUUGGAUGAGACGACCCAGGAGACUGAGCUGAGCGAAGAGGCUCAAGUGUAAAUGUCUAUGGAGCAGCCCCACUGUAGGGCAGGCAGAAGAAAAGGUGACCUGAAGGGAAUUUGUGAAGAAAGGGCCAGAGGCAUGAAGAUAACCAGAACUAUAAGGUGUCUCAGGUAAGACAUAGAGAAGUGAUAAACACCGGAAGCCAAAAAGAAGCUAAAUAAAAUGCUGCUUAAAAGUGCCCGUUGGAUUUGCCAUUGAGGACAACAUUGGUAGGAUUAGUUUGGAUGGCUGCAGUGGAAUAGUGGGAAGUCAGACUUCAUGGACUUCAAGCAGGAAAGGAAGGUAACAAAAUGCGUCUGUUAAUUUUGACCAAUGUUUUAGAAAGUUCUUCAGCAGAGGUGUGGGAAGAGAUAUAAUUGUAGAUAGAAAGCA